UAGCCAUGGUGAGGGCAUGCAUUCAACAAGUCUUGAAUCUCUCCCAACACUGAUAAAAUGUUUCAACAUUGUUUUGAGCAAAAUUCAUGAUCUGUCUAUUUAAGACA